rnacentral:rRNA from 1 species
AUGCUUAAAAUAGAUUUGGCCAAAGCUUUUGACAGAAUUGAAUGGUGCUUUAUCAAAAGGGCGUUGUUCCGAAAAGGGCUGCAUUGUCAUUUCAUAGAUUUAAUCAUGGAAUGUAUCUCCUCUGCCACCUUUUCUGUUAACAUUAAUGGGCAACCGUUUGGCAGUUUUAAGGGAUCCCGAGGCAUUCGACAAGGCUGUCCCCUGUCACCGUAUCUUUUUAUUCUUGCAUUCAAUGAAUUGUCGCUUUCAAUGCAGGAGGCUUUAAAUGCCAAUCAUUUCAGCAGUAUCCAAUUAGGCCCAGGUUGCCCCCCUAUCCACUCUCUCAUGUUUGCGGACGACCUGAUUGUCUGUGGCAGAGCAGAUAAUAAUGAUGCCAAUACGAUUGCUUUUAUUAUUAAUGUUUUGUGCUGUUUCUGGUCAAACUCCUAA